rnacentral:rRNA from 1 species
UACGUAGGGUGCAAGCGUUGUCCGGAAUUAUUGGGCGUAAAGAGCUCGUAGGCGGUCUGUUGCGUCGGCUGUGAAAACCCGGGGCUCAACUCCGGGCCUGCAGCCGAUACGGGCAGACUAGAGUUCGGCAGGGGGAGACUGGAAUUCCUGGUGUAGCGGUGAAAUGCGCAGAUAUCAGGAGGAACACCGGUGGCGAAGGCGGCAUCCUGGACCAACACUGACGCUGAGUGAGCGAAAGCCAGGGGAGCAAACGGG